CCUACGGGAGGCAGCAGUGGGGGAUAUUGGACAAUGGGGGGAACCCUGAUCCAGCGACGCCGCGUGAGUGAAGAAGUAUUUCGGUAUGUAAAGCUCUGUCAGCAGGGAAGAAAGCAAUGACGGUACCUGACCAAGAAGCCCCGGCUAACUACGUGCCAGCAGCCGCGGUAAUACGUAGGGGGCAAGCGUUAUCAGGAAUUACUGGGUGUAAAGGGAGCGUAGACGGCUGUGCAAGUCUGUAGUGAAAGGCGGGGGCCCAACCCCCGGACUGCACUGGAUACUGGAUGGCUGGAGUGCAGGGGAGGUAAGCGGAAUUCGUGGUGUAGCGGUGAAAUGCGUAGAUAUUAGGAGGAACACCAGUGGCGAAGGCGGCUUACUGGACUGUAACUGACGUUGAGGCUCGAAAGCGUGGGGAGCAAACAGGAUUAGAUACCCCAGUAGUC
rnacentral:rRNA from 1 species